GACGAACGCUGGCGGCGUGCUUAACACAUGCAAGUCGAACGGAAAGGCCUGCAGCUUGCUGCGGGUACUCGAGUGGCGAACGGGUGAGUAACACGUGGGUGAUCUGCCUUGCACUUCGGGAUAAGCUUGGGAAACUGGGUCUAAUACCGGAUAGGACAGCUGUUUAGUGUCAGUUGUGGAAAGUUUUUUCGGUGCAAGAUGAGCUCGCGGCCUAUCAGCUUGUUGGUGGGGUAAUGGCCUACCAAGGCGUCGACGGGUAGCCGGCCUGAGAGGGUGUACGGCCACAUUGGGACUGAGAUACGGCCCAGACUCCUACGGGAGGCAGCAGUGGGGAAUAUUGCACAAUGGGCGGAAGCCUGAUGCAGCGACGCCGCGUGGGGGAUGAAGGCCUUCGGGCUGUAAACUCCUUUCGACAGGGACGAAGCUUUUGUGACGGUACCUGUAUAAGAAGCACCGGCUAACUACGUG
rnacentral:rRNA from 1 species